UAGGCCCACUCAUCCAUACCUCUCUCUCUCUCUCUCUCUCCCCAUGCAAUUUACAGAGCCAUGGAAGUAGGACCAUGUUCAUUUUCAACCUCUCUUCUUCCUAGCUGUUCCUAGUGUAACCGAGUCACACACAUAAGCACAUCGACGUUAGUUUAUCUGUCUGUCUAUCUAUCUAUAUUUCUAUUUUGAUUAGGGUUUUAAGAUUUGGCUCUGAUGGACUUAACCCAUCCACAAUCGAACCUUUCACUAGGAUUUUCAUCCCAUGUAUCACCACCCCGUCAGACCAAAAUGGCCGACGAUUCCAUCUCUCUCCAGCUCGAUUCCAGCCUCCGGGACCCCACGCCAACCCGCCCACAGGCCUCGCCCAUCCCAUUCCGAUUGCUCGAACCCCAAACCACCGAGAACCCCCGCAAAGAGGCCACCGAAAACGGCACGACUCUGGACACCGAAUUAGCCGAAUACGGUGAAAAGGAAAUCCGGAUUCUUGGGCAGUCGAUGUGCCUCAAGCGCCGCCGCGAGAGCUCUUCGUCUUCCUCUUCGUCGUCAAUUUCGAUGUCUAGUUCUUUGAAGAGGGUUUCCGUCGAGCCGGAUCUCGAGGCGCGGCGGAGUGCUAUUCACUCUUGGGGUGAUGCGCCACUGCACGUGGCGGACCCCGAUAUUUUCGAGAUAAUGGAGAAGGAGAAGCAGCGGCAGUACAAAGGAAUUGAAUUGAUUGCGUCGGAGAAUUUCGCAUGCAGGGCAGUAAUGGAAGCGCUUGGUAGCCAUUUAACCAAUAAAUACUCGGAAGGAAUGCCCGGGGCGCGAUAUUACGUUGGGAAUCAAUACAUCGAUGAGAUUGAAACGCUGUGUUGCGACCGCGCAUUAUCGGCGUUCGGUCUCGAUUCGGAGAACUGGAGAGUGAAUGUGCAACCUUAUUCGUGCACAUCUUCAAAUUUCGCGGUCUACACAGGAUUGCUACUCCCUGGGGAUCGGAUAAUGGGGUUGGAUACUCCGUCUGGAGGGAAUACUAGCCAUGGGUACCAUACUCCGAAUGGGAAGAAAGUUUCGGGGGCGUCUAUUUUCUUUGAGAGUCUGCCGUAUAAGGUGAAACCUCAAACGGGGUAUAUUGAUUUUGAUAAGCUUGAGGAGAGGGCGCUUGAUUUCCGUCCCAAGAUAUUGAUUUGUGGGGGGAGCUCCUAUCCUCGGGAAUGGGAUUAUGCCAGGUUUAGGCAGAUUGCGGAUAAGUGCGGAGCCGUGCUCAUGUGUGAUAUGGCUCAAAUAAGCGGGCUUGUGGCGGCUAAGGAAUGUGUUAAUCCUUUUGACUACUGUGACAUUGUCACCUCAACAACUCAUAAAAGUCUUCGAGGGCCCAGGGGGGGUAUAAUUUUCUAUAGAAGGGGUAUGAAGCCUAGGAAGAGAGGCAUGUGUUUGAAUCAGGGAGAUGAAAGCGAACAGUAUGAUUUUGAGGAAAAGAUAAACUUUGCUGUGUUUCCAUCAUUGCAAGGUGGACCACACAAUAAUCAUAUUGCUGCUCUUGCCAUAGCCUUGAAGCAAGUGGCUACACCUGAGUACAAGGCAUAUAUGCAACAGGUGAAGAAAAAUGCUCAGGCUCUAGCAUCUGCUUUAUUGAGAAGGAAGUGUAGGUUGGUUACUGGAGGCACAGACAAUCAUUUGUUACUUUGGGAUCUAAGGCCUCUGGGAUUAACAGGUAAGAAUUAUGAGAAAGUCUGUGAGAUGUGUCACAUAACUCUCAAUAAAAUUGCUAUUUUCGAUGACAAUGGAACCAUCACCCCCAGAGGAGUAAGGAUUGGUACCCCUGCUAUGACAUCCAGAGGUUGUUUAGAGACUGAUUUUGAGACAAUUGCUGAAUUCCUCCUCAGAGCUGCACAGAUUGCUAGUGGAUUGCACAGAGAGCAUGGGAAGUUGCAAAUUGUUUUUCUGAAGGGUCUCCAAAGUAACAAGGACAUUGUGGAGCUCCGAACCCAAGUUGAAACUUUUGCAACACAGUUUGCAAUGCCAGGAUAUGAAAUUUGAACGGGUUCUGGUGUUACAACAAUGAAGGGUUAUGGUCCAACAUUUGAAGAGAUUAUUAGGAAAGGAUCACCAUCUUCCUCGUCUCAUACCUGGCAGAUUUCUGCUGCCAAUGGCAACUUCCCGAUUCACAUCCUCAGGUAGUACUUGUGCCAUGGAUCAUCGGAUUGUCCGUCUUAUGGAUCCUCAUCCUGCAUCUACUUGUGGCAUGGAUCAUCGGAUUGCCUGUCUUAUGGAUCCUUGUCCUGAAGCGUGGGCCUUAUGCCAAUGAAGUGUGACACUGUGCACGGCCAUUAUUUAGUGAGGUAUGUUUUCAUACUUAAUGCUUUCUGCUGUUUUGAUAGAAUGGUGGCUGCGGACAGCUGAACAAGGAAUGAGUGUGGUGCUUGGAGCAUUUGUGAUUCAGUUGACCAAACAGAAGAUCAAAUCUUGAUCAACCAAUCCCGAUUUCAACCUUCCUAAUUUAUGUGGAGCCAGCAAAAUACAUUGAUUCUGAUGGAUAUUUUGAGUUCUGUGCUCAUACUACCAUAAUUUCAUUUCAUUGAGGAAAGGACGGAGCCAUUAUUAUGAAGAGGAGGGUGAUGGAAAAAGAAGAUUCAUUAAAAGAGGGCGAUCAACAUAAACGGGACAAAUGUCAGUAGCUGGUGUUGGAGACUCAUGAUCGAGAAGACUUUCCACCAUAAACUACAGCAAACACUCGACACCAUUGCUUUCAUUUCUAACCAGAAUCAGACAGCAUCUAUCCAUUGAGAUAGAAAAGCUUGCCUUUCGAACUUUUAAUAAAGAAAACCUUAGGAGGAAUCUCUCUCUCUCUCUCUCUCUCUCUCUCUGUUUUUUUGUCCUAUCAACCCUCUUUUUCCAUAUUGCUGCACACUAAAAUGAUUAGUCAAUUUGCUAUCACAACUCUGGAGAAUCUCUAUGAAAAUGCGAAAGAUAUGUUGGGAGAAAAACUGCUGUACCAUUUUAUAAGGGCAUCUUUCUUUCUUGACAAGAGAAGGAAAACCCGGAGCAAGAGGAGAAUUAAGAAUCUUUAAUAUUCCUAUUUCAUUUUCUUUU